AAGUCGUAACAAGGUCUCCGUUGGUGAACCAGCGGAGGGAUCAUUAAAGAGUUGCAAAACUCCAAACCAUUGUGAACCUUACCGCUACUACCGUUGCUUCGGCGGGUCCGCCCGCCGAAGGAACAAACCCCAAACUCUUGAACACACUGUCUCUCUGAGUUCCAAAAGAUCAAAAUUGUCAAAACUUUCAACAACGGAUCUCUUGGUUCUG
rnacentral:misc_RNA from 1 species